rnacentral:misc_RNA from 1 species
AUAACAUCCAUCUUUUGUUAUGUGCCAGUUUUCUUUUAACCCUUGUGAUGUGCAUAUCAAUUUUAAUUUCAUUUCAUUGAAAUGAGACGAGUAUGGAUUACACAUUAACUUUUUUGAAUAAAGAAUUUGGAAUAUUAACCUCUAAUUUGUGCUAUGAUCAUAAAGUUCCUAUUAGGCCAAAGUAAAAAUUCUGUAAAACUGCAAUUAGCUCAGCAUAUCCCAUGGAGGCAAAUGCUAGUGGUGAGGCAAUACAUUCAUAGAAUGUGUUGCUGAAAUGAGAUUUUUAGUGUAUUGAAGUGUCAAGUCUAGACUUGUCAAUGAGUUCAUCUAUUGGAAGGUGCAUGGUGGCAUCCAUUAUGGAUGAGUUGAGGGAGAGUUGACCGAGGUGGUUUGAUUAUGUUCAACAUAGUCUUGAGGAUGUCUUGGGGAGGAAAAAUUGGUGGGUUUAGAUGAAAGAUAUUUAAUAUCAAAAUUCAUUAUAGAUGGUUAAAUGCUUGCCUUUGGAGCUGAAUGGAAGACAAAGUUGUAUAUUGUUGCCGAUAAUAAAAAGUUUGGCCUUAAAUACAGCUGCGAGGA